rnacentral:rRNA from 1 species
AUGAACGCUGACAGAAUGCUUAACACAUGCCAGUCUUUGGUGAAGCUGUGCUUGCACAGCCUAGCCAAGGCGGACGGGUGAGUAACGCGUAAGGAACUUGCCCUGCAGUCAGGGAUAACAGACGGAAACGACUGAUAAGACCUGGUAAAGUCAGGCGGACUCAUGUCCAGCCUGAUGAAAAGAGAUGCUGCAGGAGAGCCUUGCGUCCUAUUAGCUUGUUGGUGGGGUAACGGCCCACCAAGGCAAUGAUAGGUAGCCGGCCUGAGAGGGUGGACGGCCACAAGGGGACUGAGAUACGGCCCUUACUCCUACGGGAGGCAGCAGUGGGGAAUAUUGGACAAUGGGGGCAACCCUGAUCCAGCAAUUCUGUGUGCACGAUGAAGGUUUUCGGAUUGUAAAGUGCUUUCAGCAGGGAAGAAAAAAAUGACGGUACCUGCAGAAGAAGCGACGGCUAAAUACGUG